AUUGAACGCUGGCGGCAGGCUUAACACAUGCAAGUCGAGCGGGGGAAGGUAGCUUGCUACCGGACCUAGCGGCGGACGGGUGAGUAAUGCUUAGGAAUCUGCCUAUUAGUGGGGGACAACAUCUCGAAAGGGAUGCUAAUACCGCAUACGUCCUACGGGAGAAAGCAGGGGAUCUUCGGACCUUGCGCUAAUAGAUGAGCCUAAGUCGGAUUAGCUAGUUGGUGGGGUAAAGGCCUACCAAGGCGACGAUCUGUAGCGGGUCUGAGAGGAUGAUCCGCCACACUGGGACUGAGACACGGCCCAGACUCCUACGGGAGGCAGCAGUGGGGAAUAUUGGACAAUGGGGGGAACCCUGAUCCAGCCAUGCCGCGUGUGUGAAGAAGGCCUUAUGGUUGUAAAGCACUUUAAGCGAGGAGGAGGCUACUUUAGUUAAUACCUAGGGAUAGUGGACGUUACUCGCAGAAUAAGCACAGGCUAACUCUGUGCCAGCCGCCGCGGUAA
rnacentral:rRNA from 1 species